rnacentral:rRNA from 1 species
AGAACGAACGCUGGCGGCAGGCUUAACACAUGCAAGUCGAACGGUUGUAGCAAUACAGCAGUGGCAGACGGGUGAGUAACACGUGGGAACCUUCCUAGGGGUACGGAACAACUCAGGGAAACUUGAGCUGAUACCGUAUACGUCCGUGAGGAGAAAGUUUUAACGCCCCUAGACGGGCCCGCGUAGGAUUAGGUAGUUGGUGAGGUAACGGCUCACCAAGCCUACGAUCCUUAGCUGAUCUGAGAGGAUGAUCAGCCACACUGGGACUGAGACACGGGCCCAGUACCUACC